UAGUUCAGUCAGCUGAGCAUGGUGCUGAUAACACCAAGGUUGAGGGUUCGAUUCCCGC
rnacentral:tRNA from 1 species